rnacentral:rRNA from 1 species
GAUGAACGCUGGCGGCGUGCCUAAUACAUGCAAGUCGAGCGAACGGACGAGAAGCUUGCUCUUCUGACGUUAGCGGCGGACGGGUGAGUAACACGUGGAUAACCUACCUAUAAGACUGGGAUAACUUCGGGAAACCGGAGCUAAUACCGGAUAAUAUUUUGAACCGCAUGGUUCAAUAGUGAAAGACGGUUUUGCUGUCACUUAUAGAUGGAUCCGCGCUGCAUUAGCUAGUUGGUAAGGUAACGGCUUACCAAGGCAACGAUGCAUAGCCGACCUGAGAGGGUGAUCGGCCACACUGGAACUGAGACACGGUCCAGACUCCUACGGGAGGCAGCAGUAGGGAAUCUUCCGCAAUGGGCGAAAGCCUGACGGAGCAACGCCGCGUGAGUGAUGAAGGUCUUCGGAUCGUAAAACUCUGUUAUUAGGGAAGAACAUAUGUGUAAGUAACUGUGCACAUCUUGACGGUACCUAAUCAGAAAGCCACGGCUAACUACGUG